CAGGUGUCUGCAAGAUGGUUGGGAAAGAUUGCACUUAGAGGAACUCUGCAAGUGAAGCCAACAUGUACUUACUAGGAGUCUGGCUGAAUGACCAGUGUGAGCAACCGGAGCUCUGCAAAUGUGGAAUGGGCCAUGAUGGAGGCCUGUUUCCAGAUACUUGACCCAGCUGUGUAUGGAAGCCUGAGAUCUUCUGAACAUGAAGCAAAAGGUCAAAGGAGGAUUUGCAGGAGACUUACCUGAAAGCCUCAGAUAUAAAAGGGCUAAUUUUUCAAGAAGAAAGUAAAAGAACCAUAGUCAAGAAAUAAAGACUGGAAGCAAGGGAAGAAAAGAAGUGUUGCAUUAGAAAACCUAGUCAAGGGCAGCCCGGGUGCCUCAGCGGUUUAGCGCCGCCUUCAGCCCAGAGCAUGAUCCUGGAGACCCGGGAUUGAGUCCCACGCCGGGCUCCCUGCAUGGAGCCUGCUUCUCCCUCUGCCUGUGUCUCUGCCCCUCUUUCUCUCUCUCUCUUUCUCUCUCUCUCUCUCUGUCUCUCAUGAAUAAAUAAAUAAAAUCUUAAAAAAAAAAAAAGAAAACCUAGUCAAGCAAAUGUUCUUACUUGACUUGAAACUCCCCUCUUUGGGGUUUCAU
rnacentral:lncRNA from 1 species